UACGAAUCAUGUGCAUGGAACUGACUGCAUGUUUUCCACUCUGAACAUUAGUUAACUAAUUUAUAUCAGUAAUUUUUGUAACAGAUUAAAUGACCUUAAAAGGCAAGAGAAAAGAAAACUGUGUGAUAGUUAAUGUGCAUGGGGAGUUAUAGUUAAUGGGGAAAUCCGAGUUCUCAGGAUUUUCAAUAUGCCAACAGACCAAAGCAGGAGUUUUUUGGAUUCCACAAGGGAAAGUCUUUAGAAGCCAGCCAUAUUGUCUGUCCCAGGUGAAUUGUGGGGUUCCAGGGCUCAUUGCCAGAUCCAGUGACAUAUGAACAGAACACAGUUUUGAUUUUUUUAUUUUAAAUAAAUUAUUAAAAUAAAAAUAAGUUGAAGUAUUUCACUUCUGCAACAUUUCAUGUAUGCAUUUAAACUCCUGAGCGGUUAUAGACUUGGAGGAAACCACUGGCUGCCCACUGUCAUGACCAGGAACAUGGUGAGAUUCUAAACUCUUUAAACUCCAAGAAGUAAACCAUUUUUUUUGUAUUUUAAAGAUUGUAAUUUUUGUUUUUUUGGCUUUUUUUGGACAGUGGCAGUAAAAACACAGUGGAGUGAGAUGGGAUGAUUUGCAGCAAAGGGCCUAAGCUGGAACUGAAGCUUGACUGCCUGAAGAACAGUAUGUGGUACGCGUUCUACCAGUUGUUCUUGAAAUGGACCUCAUCAAUCUCUUUCCUGUUCUACAAAUCCCCCCUUUUGAUCAGACGCUGGUCUUGUCCAGGAUAAAUAUUGAGAGGAUCAGAUCAGCCCACACUGGACAACAUGCAAGUCCUCAAGCUGAACUAGUGACCGUAAAGGCUGUAGCUUCCAGUUUCUCGAACAUCAUGUCACCAUUGUCCCAUGUCUUCACACAAGUCUGGACUCAGUGACUUAUUCCUCUUGUUCAACCAGGGCAAGUAAGCCCUGAUACAUAAUGUUUGUUUAUUUCACCAUGGAUUAUCCAUCAUAUGGACAUGUGCUGUUUUGUCAAGAUUUCAUUACUAAUUUGGGAGUAUUGGACAAGGUAUUUGAUCAAUUCAAACUGUUUUUAAUUUUAAUUUUAAUACUUUUGUGCCUUGGUUUACAAUGGACCUUAUUCACUUAGUAAUUAAUCAUAAAAAGAUGUUGACAGUAAAAU